rnacentral:rRNA from 1 species
GACGUAGGGCGCGAGCGUUGUCCGGAUUUAUUGGGCGUAAAGAGCUUGUAGGCGGUUUGUCGCGUCUGCUGUGAAAUCUCAAGGCUCAACCUUGAGCUUGCAGUGGGUACGGGCAGACUAGAGUGUGGUAGGGGAGACUGGAAUUCCUGGUGUAGCGGUGAAAUGCGCAGAUAUCAGGAGGAACACCGAUGGCGAAGGCAGGCCUCUGGGCCACUACUGACGCUGAGAAGCGAAAGCAUGGGGAGCGAACAGG